GCAUCCGUAGCUCAGCUGGAUAGAGUACUCGGCUACGAACCGAGUGGUCGGAGGUUCGAAUCCUCCCGGAUGCACCA
rnacentral:tRNA from 18 species